rnacentral:rRNA from 1 species
GCCGCAGUAUAUUGACUGUGCGAAGGUAGCAUAAUCAUUAGCUUUUUAAUUGAAGGCUGGAAUGAAUGGUCAAACGAAAGUUUAUUUGUCUCUUAGUAAUUAAUUGAAUUUUAUUUUAUAGUGAAAAAGCUAUAAUAAAGUAAAAGGACGAGAAGACCCUAUAGAGCUUUAUAAAUGUUGGAAUUUAUUGGAAUAGUUAGAUCUAAUAUUUAUUGAAUUGGGGUGAUGAUGAAAUAAAUAAACUUUUAUGAUAUAAACAUAGAUAUGUGAAUUUAAGAUCUUUGGGUACAUUAAGAGUAAGUUACCUUAGGGAUAACAGCGUAAUUGUUUUGGAGAGUUCAAAUUGAUAGAACAGUUUGCGACCUCGAUGUUGGAUUAGAAAAAUUACCUGGAGCAAAAAUUAAGUUAUUAAGUCUGUUCGACUAUUAAAUUUCUA